rnacentral:tRNA from 1 species
GCUCACUUGGUGGAAGUGGUAUACACGACAGACUUAAAAUCUGUGGCUAUAUAAAAGAGUCUACCGGUUCAAGUCCGGUAGUGAGCA